rnacentral:rRNA from 1 species
AUUGAACGCUGGCGGCAGGCCUAACACAUGCAAGUCGAGCGGAUGAAGGGAGCUUGCUCCUGGAUUCAGCGGCGGACGGGUGAGUAAUGCCUAGGAAUCUGCCUGGUAGUGGGGGAUAACGUCCGGAAACGGGCGCUAAUACCGCAUACGUCCUGAGGGAGAAAGUGGGGGAUCUUCGGACCUCACGCUAUCAGAUGAGCCUAGGUCGGAUUAGCUAGUUGGUGGGGUAAAGGCCUACCAAGGCGACGAUCCGUAACUGGUCUGAGAGGAUGAUCAGUCACACUGGAACUGAGACACGGUCCAGACUCCUACGGGAGGCAGCAGUGGGGAAUAUUGGACAAUGGGCGAAAGCCUGAUCCAGCCAUGCCGCGUGUGUGAAGAAGGUCUUCGGAUUGUAAAGCACUUUAAGCUGGGAGGAAGGGCAGUAAGUUAAUACCUUGCUGUUUUGACGUUACCAACAGAAUAAGCACCGGCUAACUUCG